GCUCUUAUAGUAUAACUGAUUACAUUGGUCUUGUAAACCAAAAAUGAAGAGAAACUUCUUCUUAGAGCA
rnacentral:tRNA from 1 species